GGUGUCAUAUGCUACAGGUUAAAUUUAUAAUUUAGUGUUUUUUCUAUUAGUGCAUGAGAGUUCUGUAGUUCAAAUGGUUGUUUAGUCCAUCUUUGACACACCUUUUCAUCCGUUCAAAUCUCUCAAAUACUUUUUUUUUCAUUUAUUUUUAAACUGGGCUUUGGCCCAAAGAUUAUAAUCCUCCUUAAAACACAGUCUGGGCCCG
rnacentral:lncRNA from 1 species